AUGAUGAAGUUCAAGCACAACCAGACGCGGACUUACCACCACCAGGGCUUCAAGAAGCCUGCGGCAUGCCUGUGCUUCCUGAGUGAGCAGGAGGACCAGGCGCUGCUGGUGAUUAGCCCCAGACCAAUGGAUUGUCCCAGGAGGAGGGAUGGAGCCAGAGGAAGAGUCAGGCGGUGCUGCUGUGAGGGAAGUUUAUGAGGAGGCUGUAGUCAAAGGUUGGCAGACUCCUGGGUGAUAUUUGAGAACCAAGACCUAAAGCACAGAACGUAUGUUUAUGUUCUUACAGUAACUGAGAUAUUAGAAGAUUGGGAAGAUUCUGUUAACAUAGGAAGGAAGACAGAGUGGUUCAAAAUAGAAGAUGCAAUCAAAGUUCUCCAGUGUCAUAAACCUGUACAUGCAGAGUACCUGGAUAAACUAAAGCUUGGCUGUUCCCCAACCAAUGGAAACUCCGCAGUCCCUUCCCUUCCAGAUAAUAAUGCCUUGCUUGUGACUGCAGCACAGACCUCAGGGGUGCCACCCGGUAUAAGAUAAAGAGAAUUGGAGGCCCUCUCCACCAUGUGUAAUCUCGUGGGGAGAGGCUUUUUCACUUUCUUUGGAAAACAUAUGAAUGACACAAACUGUCUGAAUUUGACAUGCAGGGAUUUCAAACAAAUUUGCAUGUGUUUCAGAUGCUUUCAAGUCUUUUAAAACAAAAUAGUGUAAAAACAUUUUCAGAAGCCAAAGCCAUCUGGGACUUUUUCUUUUUAAGAUGCCUUAACUGUGCCCCACCUGUUAUUUUAGUUGCUGUUUUUCACAGAAUUUUUUUUUUGUCAUUGACAUCAGUCGGGUUUAUUAGUCAGAUCAAAUUGCUUAUAGGUAUAUUUCCCCCCUAAAUUGGUGUCUCACUCAUACACACCCAGUCUUGGUAUUAAAGAAACAUCCCUCCCCAAACUUCAGAAGAUCGCACUAAUUCAUAAAUUUCAGGCAUGAGCUAUUUCUGUAUGUUCCAAUAAAAAGGAUUUCA